UUGGAGGGCAAGUCUGGUGCCAGCAGCCGCGGUAAUUCCAGCUCCAAUAGCGUAUAUUAAAGUUGUUGCAGUUAAAAAGCUCGUAGUUGAAUUUCGGGAUCAAUAUAUCGGUCGUGCCUUGGUACGUACUGGUAUCAUUGGUUUCUCCUUUCUGACGAACCAUGAUGUCAUUAAUUUGGUGUUAUGGGAAGUUAGGACUGUUACUUUGAAAAAAUUAGAGUGAUUAAAGCAGGCUUUAGCUUGAAUACAUUAGCAUGGAAUAAUGAAAUAGGACGUUCGAACCUAUUUUGUUGGUUUCUAGGAUCAACGUAAUGAUUAAUAGGGAUAGUUGGGGGCAUUAGUAUUCAAUUGUCAGAGGUGAAAUUCUUGGAUUUAUUGAAGACUAACUACUGCGAAAGCAUUUGCCAAGGAUGUUUUCAUUAAUCAAGAACGAAAGUUAGGGGAUCGAAGACGAUCAGAUACCGUCGUAGUCUUAACCAUAAACUAUGCCGACUAGGGAUCGGAUGAUGUUAAUUUUUUAAUGACUCAUUCGGCGCCUUACGGGAAAC
rnacentral:rRNA from 1 species